CUCCGGCCGAGUCCAGCACGCUCGUCGGCGGCGCUUCAGAUUCGGGCACUUAUCCGACCCGUCUUGAAACACGGACCAAGGAGUCUAGCGUGUGCGCGAGUCAUUGGGUGUAAAACCUAAAGGCGCAAUGAAAGUGUCAGAGGGCGCCCCGCGUCCUCUGUGGGAGGAUGGGCUCCCGGCUUCCCGGCCGGCGCCCCGCACUCCCGGGGCGUUUCAUUCUCAUCACGAGUCGAAACGCACCAGGAGCGCACACGCUGGUACCCGAAAGAUGGUGAACUAUGCCUGGCCAGGACGAAGCCAGGGGAAACCCUGGUGGAGGUCC
rnacentral:rRNA from 1 species